GAGGAAUAUUGGUCAAUGGGUGCAAGCCUGAACCAGCCAUCCCGCGUGAAGGACGACUGCCCUAUGGGUUGUAAACUUCUUUUGUAUAGGGAUAAACCUACUCUCGUGAGGGUAGCUGAAGGUACUAUACGAAUAAGCACCGGCUAACUCCGUGCCAGCAGCCGCGGUCAUACGGAGGGUGCAAGCGUUAUCCGGAUUUAUUGGGUUUAAAGGGUCCGUAGGCGGACUUAUAAGUCAGUGGUGAAAGCCUGUCGCUUAACGAUAGAGCUGCCAUUGAUACUGUAAGUCUUGAGUAUAUUUGAGGUAGCUGGAAUAAGUAGUGUAGCGGUGAAAUGCAUAGAUAUUACUUAGAACACCAAUUGCGAAGGCAGGUUACCAAGAUAUAACUGACGCUGAGGGACGAAAGCGUGGGGAGCGAAC
rnacentral:rRNA from 1 species